GUCCUCCUCUCGUGUCGUGAGAUGUUGGUUUAUCUCCCGCCACGAGCACCCCCCUUGUCUUUAUUUCCCAGCACGUGAAGGUGGGGACUUUGAGGAGACUGCCGGUGAUAAACCGGAAGAAGGGGGGGAUGACGUCAAAUCAUCGUGCCCCUUAUGAGUUGGGCUACACACGUACUACGGUGGCUGGUACAAAGGGAAGCGAACCUGCGAGGGUAAGCGGACCCCAUAAAGCCCGUCUAACUUCGUAUCGCACUCUGCAACUCGACUGCGUGAAGUCAGAUUCUCUAAUAAUCGCAUAUCAAAAUGCUG
rnacentral:rRNA from 1 species